AAUAAGCCAUGUUGUUUGAUAGUAUCCUCUGUGAAUUAGAAUGAGGUUAAUUGGAGUUAGAGAUUGAUAUAGUGAAUUGGAUUAGUAGAAUGGUUUGUAAAUAAGGAGUUGUGGGUAGUUCAUGAAAGAGGUUAGAAGGUAUGAGAAAGUUAAUUUCUUUAUCUAAUUGGUAGUAAGGAUGUUAAUUGUUGUUCAUAUUGUUGUGAGGUGAUUGUUGGAGAUUGAUAAAGAAUUUAGAGAUGUCGGACUCUUGAAGAUCAUAAUGGAAUCGAGCGUUCUUUGGGGAAAUGAAGGAGAGUUCAUUGUUAGUGAUCUUGCAGGUUCGUAUGUGGAAAGCUCGGAAUGGUUUAAAAGGAAGAAUUUAAGUAUCAAGGUUAUAAUGAGAUGUAAGGGUUCCUAGGUUGUAUUUGGGAUUAUUUAUCCUUAUUUAUGAAUAAAUUAUUAUAUUGCUUUAA